rnacentral:rRNA from 1 species
CACCGCGGUUAUACGAGAGGCUCAAGUUGACAAACACCGGCGUAAAGAGUGGUUAAGUUAAGAUUAAAACUAAAGUCAAACACCCUCAAAGCUGUUAUACGCAUCCGAGGAUUAGAAACUCAACCACGAAAGUGACUUUACUUAAACUGAACCCACGAAAGCUACGAUA